AAGAAAGAAAUGAACAUGAGCCGCAAUCCCCGUCUUUCCAGCCAAAGAUGACCAACCACUGUUAACAUUCUGCUGUCAUCCUCCAGAUACGCCCACACGGUCACCUAGCGAGGCACCGUGGCAGCGGAAGCCUUUUCUGGCGGAGCACCCAGCCUGAGGCCGGUCCAGCACAGGAAUUCUGCACGUCCUCUCCUGACCUACGGCAGAGCUCUUCCUGCCGGGUUUUCCCUGAUUCAGCCGUCCACGCCGCUAUUUCCCAGACUCUUGGGAUCCAAAAGCUUGGGAGUAUCUUUCAUUCAGCUGUCGCUUUGGCCUUUCAUGUUUGGAAAUCGCCGUGAUUGUUGGUCCAGUGACUUCACAUGCAUCUGUGACUUCAUCUCAACAGGAUUUUGACAUCGGCUGUUAUAGAAAUGAGGCCUGGAGACGCAAAAUCAUCUGCCCGAGGGGUGAACAGGAGAGCGGGACUCGACUCAAAGCCUGGGCUCAUCCCAUUUCUUGGAGGCUCCCUCCCCGGCGUGACUGGUAACCUGGCUGGUCUCACACCCCACUAACUCAAAAUGCUGAGGUCUCUCCAUCUGAAAGACAAACUGAUGAACCUUUCCCAGUGCCUGUCUCCAGCUCUUAGCCCUCUCCUGCUUCCCCCUGUACAUGCCUGCAAGCCUGCCUUACACUCUUGGGUUCCUCAGUCACUGCAAGCUAGUGUCCGCCUCCCUGGCAUGGCCCCCGCCAAGUUCCCUCUGUCCCCAGGACACUCCGUGGCCCUGGCCAUACCCGAGUCCUGUCUAACCCCAUCACAGCCCCUCUUCCUCCCAGCAUGCCUCCCCCUGGCUUCUCUCCUGAUUUCCUUCUACCCCUCCGGCCAUCCUGCCCUAGUGCCCUCGGCCUCUCCGGCCAUCCUGCCCUAGUGCCCUCAGCCCCUCCGGCCAUCCUGCCCUGGUGCCCUCGGCUCAGCCCAGCACCUGGAUGCUGCGAAUCCCCAGGUUUGGGUCCAGGCCGUCUGCUCUUGACAAACCCCAUGUUCUCCUUGGUUGGCUCAUUUCCUCAUGUGGCUUCAGUGACCACCACCAUGUUGACAGCUCCCCAACCUCUCUCUCUAGCUCAGAUAUUUCCCUGUAGCUUGAGAUCUUCAUGUCCCUCUGAACGUGGAGUUCUGACCCUGAAUCCACCACGUCCCAGCUGGGUGACUGCGAUGGUUAACUUUAUGUGUCAACUUGACAGGGUGCCCAGAUAUUGGGUCAAACAUGAUUCCAGGUGUGUCUGCGAGGGUGUUUCUGGAUGAGAUCAGCAUUUGAAUCCACUGAACAAAGCGGGUGGCCCUUCCUAAUAUGGGGGGGCCUCAUGCGACCCAAGGAAGACCUGAAGAGAGCAAAAGGGCUACCCCUCCGUGAGUGACGGGCGUCCUCCCGCUGACCGUGGAGCGGGGACAUCGGUCUUUUUCUGCUUUUGGACUUGGACUGAAACAGUGGCUCGUCUUGAGUCUGUUGGGUUGGAACUCACACCCUUGGCUCUUCUGGUGUCAGAACUUCAGACUCAGACCAGAGCUGUGCCAUGAGAUCUCCUGGGACUCCGGCUUGUUUUUGUUCUUGUUGUUUAAAGGUGUUUUUUUUUUUUUUAAAUUUAUUUAUUUAUUUUGGCUGCGUUGGGUCCUCAUUUCAUGAGGGCUUUCUCUAGUUGCGGCGAGCGAGGGCCACUCUUCAUCGCGGUGCGCGGUCCUCUCUUGUGGCGGAGCACAGGCUCCAGAUGCGCAGGCUCUGUAGCUGUGGCUCACGGUCCCAGCCGCUCCGCGGCAUGUGGGAUCUUCCCAGACCAGGGCUCGAACCCGUGUCCCCUGCAUCGGCAGGCAGAUUCGCAACCACUGCGCCACCAGGGAAGCCCUAAAGGUGUUUUUUUGACGUGGAUCAUUUUUAAAGUCUUUAUUGAAUUUGCUACAAUGUUGCUUCUGUUUUAUGUUUUGGUUUUUUGGCCACGAGGCAUGUGGGAUCUUAGCUCCCCAACCAGGGAUCGAACCUGCGCCCCCUGCACUGGAAGGCAAAGUCUUAACCACUGGACCGCCAGGGAAGUCCCCCGACUCCAGCCUGUUGACUGCAGGUCUUGGGACUUCUCAGCCCCCAAAAUUGGUAAGCCAGUUCCUUAUAAUAAAUCUUUUCGAUAUAGAUAUAUAAUAGAUAGAUAGAUAGAUAUAAAUAGAUACAUCUCCUAUUAGUACUUGAGUUUUCUUACUAUCCUAGGGUUUACUCUAUAGGUCAAGGAACCAGUGAGAUUUCUGUCAACUUCUAAUAUCCGUUCCCACUGUGCCUUUGGGAAGCAGGAAAAUGACCACAGGUGGGUUUGUGGACCACAGUGAGGCAUACAUGGAUCGGAGCCCUUUAUUACUAGAUCAUCAUACAACUCUAGUCUAACAGGGGCCGUAAUGGUACUUUGGGUCCCCAUCAUUUCAAAGCCUGUAUCCAACAGUCCUCAGAAGAUCUGGGCAGUCUCCUUUCCCCACUGUAUGGGUAUCUGGGUAAAUGGUCAUAAGUCCCUUUGGAGGAAAGAGUGAGGUAUCACGAGUGACCCAACCUUUCCUUUAGUUGAUGGAUGUGGGUCUGAAAACGGGCUCAGAUCUGGAAACUGCGAAAAGGACUGUGACUUUGCACCGGGUCUCCUGACAUCCUUGUGCUUGUUAUUCUCGGCCUCUUUUGCUCACACAUAUGUACCAGGCAGUGACUUUGCUGCCUGUCCAUCUGUCUUGCCUCUGGGAGCGCCGUGUUCUAUUAGUCACGCCCACAGCUCCCCGCAGGUCAGGGUCCUUGGUUGGCGUUCUGCCUUUGCUGCCUGUUACAAUAAUUUUAUCCUGUUUCUCAUGGUUAAGUGCUGCCACUGGCCUUUGAUAUUCUAGGGUCCAGUAUCAUCCUCAUUACCACCAAAAAGCCCAGACUAAACCACGUCUCUUGUCAUCGGCCCCGAACUACAGAGGGGUCACCACUGACUGAAGCAUCUUAAUGAUGGUGGUGCUCUCCCGGCGCUCUCUCCUCAACACCUGCGCGGAUGCCUGUCCCCCAGGCCCUUCUGAAGGAGGGUCAGCUGGUGUGUCUGGCCUCACGGUAGAUUAGUCCUAGUGCAUCCAUGUCUGUAGCCUUUUGACCCCUCCUUCCAUGGUUGAGCACAGUGAUCCUGGUAUUGCUUUUUCCAAGCUUGUAAGAGCCAUCAGGACUUCCCUCUCUCCUCCCGCCCCUAGGCCCUUGCCCAUGAUGUGAAGUGCUUGUUCCGGGAGAAUAGUUCCGUAUUAAUGAAUGUGCCCUGACUCGGACCCUUCCCUCCGUGAGCCGGUGUUCUUCAGAUGCGCCCCCGGCACACACUUGCAGCUCCUGCCCUUGCACGGUCACCCAGUCCCGCGGCUCCUCUGGUAUAGAAUGCUUCCCCCCUCUCAGGCCCAGUGACGGAGCCCUCACACGGGUUACCCUGACCCUGACCCUAGUCAUUGGUCCGGUGGCCAGCAAGAAGGGGAGAGGGGAGACCCUCAGAGCGCAGUCAUCAUUGUGGCGGCUUUUGCCUCGUUGGAGGCUGGUGCAGAAUGUACGAGGAAAGGCUGCUCUCCUUUAAGGAGGUGGAGGGGCUGCUUCUGCAAACUCAGGAGGUUCAGGGGAAUCUGGGGGCUUCAGGGCUCUCCAGUGCAUCCACCCAGAAAUACCCACUCCCCCAUUUCAGUCCCUCAGUCCCUCCCAGUCUGUAUCAGGCCCCGACGUGGAUAGAAGAGAGUCGCUUUUCUGAAGGUCUUGAGUUUGGUUCUCAGCUUGGUCUACCUUCUGGCUCCAGGAGAUGUCUUUUAACAGUGCCAGGGAAGCCUCUGUCUCUCACAGAGGCUUUGGAUCAGUCAUUGAUUUCCCCCACGCCUGUCCUUUUCUCUUUUCAAUGCCUCAGCUGAUGGUCAGCAAUGGCCACCAACCCCACCAUCCUUUCAUUACUCUUUGCCCCGUACCUCCCAUGUGCCAGAGAUAUUGCAGUAAACUACAUCUCUUUCAACCUGUAUUCCCUUUCAGCUCACCCCCCAGUGAAGGUCUCAGCAAUUACUCUGCUACACCAGGCCAAGGUCUUUCAGUACUCCCACUCGACCACCAGUGACGAGGGUCCUCAUUGCCAGCUAGGUGGCAAGUGGUCAACUCCGGAAUCACAGUUUCCUCUGGAGUGUACUCUUGGUACCAACGGUCUUAGGGUAAGCAUCCUUCAAGCAGAGUCUGAGACAGGGAUUUGGGUUACUGUGAUUUACUGAGGGAGGACUCUUAGGAGAAAGGGAGUGUAAGGGAAGUAGGGUGAGCGGGAAAGGACCAAGGCGUGGAGGGGGUCUCACGUGGACCCAGAUGCAGCUUGAUCUCUUGGGUAGCCCUGGGGCGUGGCCUGCACCACAGAACCAAUCCCACCUUGAAGCAAAGGAGCCAGGCUUUUGCACCCUCGUGUCAGCUGGUCACUAGCUGCAGGUUUCUGGAGUGGGGUGGGGAGUGUGAUUCCCUGUGUAAGGUGGCCCCGGGCUCCCGUAUGGCUGAGGACAAUUUUCUGGUGGUUCGCUGGCCCGUAGAGUCAUCCGGGCAGGACACCAACAACUCCUAAGACGAUUUCAGUAAAUAACACCCAAUCCAUCAGUUGCUCAAGCCAGAAACCUGGGACUUAUUUUCGUCUUCUUCCUUUUCUUCUGUUCUCAGUCCAAUCAAUCUCCAAGAUAUGUCUUUAAUUUCCUAAUCAUCCCAGUCCCUUUUUUCUGUUCUCACUGUCACGACCCAAGUCGACAUCACCGCCAUCUAUUGAGUAUAUUCCUGCAACAGCCCCGAACGGGCCUCUGGCUUAUUAUCUGCAGGACAGCCAAGUUCAGCUUUCUAGAAUCCCCGUCUCUUCAUGUCACUUCCUUUAUUAACCCUUCAGUGGCUCCCAUCACUCUUAUGAUAAUUUUAAACUGCUUCAUGUGGCUUAAAAUAUCCUGCCUGACCUCGGUUCUACUCUCCUUUCCUGGCUCAGCUCUCAGUACUUAAAAUCUCAACGAGCUGACCCAAAUGGACUUCUUUUAGUUAUAUUCGAAUAUGCCACACACUGUCUUUACUCUCUGUCUUUGCACGUAUUUUUUCAUCUGCCUAGAACACCUUUGCUACCUCUCGCCUGAUUACCUCACGUGCACCUUUAAGACUCUGCCAAGUUACACUUGCCCCUGAGAAGCCCCCGAACACCUUGUACUCCAGUAUCAUACCCUGCAUCUUGUGGCACUGCAGUGGCCUAGAUCUCCUCACUGCUGUGCUUUUCCUCUAGCACCCCUUUCCUGAAUGUUUAAAGACAAGUUUCCUUCCAGUUUUCUCUUCUCUAGUAGUUUGGCAGUAAUACAUCCAACGUCUACUCUUUAAUGGUUUAGCACGAACUCACGUCUACUUAAAUCCCAAGCUCUGUGGCAGCAAGGAUGAUGCUCACAUUACUUACUGCUGUGUCAUCAGUGCUUGGUGUAUGGAUGGAGCACAACGUGUUUGUUAUGUAAAAUAAUAAAUGAAUAAAAGUAUCUCAUGUCCUUUUCAACUGCUGCUCUAGAUGCCAGCACCUGCAACUGUGCCUUGCAGACAGUAAGUGCUUAAUAAAUAUUUGUUGAACUCAGUGGUGAGCUUAGCUUUUUCCUUUCCAUUUGUAGGACAGCUGUUCUGCCUGAUUCAGGUCCUCAGCACCUGUGUCCAGAGUCACGUAGCAGAGAGUGACAUCAGCAAAUUGUAGACCAGGAAGUUCCAAGUUCUCAUUUCCCCACAGAAACACACACACACACACACACACACACACACACACACACACACACACACACACACACACACCCAAACAACAGCAAAAAGAAAUGGAAGCUGUCUUAAACAACUUUGUAGGAGCUCUAGAAAACAGUCAAAUGUUUACAGCAACCAAGCAAAUGCCCUCCAAAAAAAAUCCAUUUUCAAAAUGGUGGGAAAAUGAUGUGAUAUUUUUACUCACUCUAGCUCCAGCCCACGUCACCCCUCCCAGCACAAUGGUGAUUUUGGUCUUAAGAAGGUGGCAGACCUGUUUCCAGUUUUCUUCCUCAAGCCGGAAAGGGUAUACCUGGAGGAAUGAUGCAAGUCACUAGUCCCUGUUCCACACAACUUGAAAUGCAGGCGGGUAUAGCUUGUAAAAGCUACAAGGCAACUACAAACUGAAAGAUAUCUGGGUGGAGACAUACGGUAGACCAUCUAAGGUCAGGAGGAGAAGCUGAAGUUAGAUGCUUUUGGAAAUUAGGACAUUUAAAAGUAGCCUUGUGUCCAGGAGAAUUUAGAAACACAUGUGCAUAUUCAGGGAAGGUACAUGCUCGGAAAAACCCUGAGAAGAGCUUAAGCAUUUACAUUGGGCUGUUCCUUAGGCUCAAAGGAAGCUUUGGUAAGUGGUGAAGGAGUGUCCCUAGAACAGAGCCAGUCUGCAAAGACUAGGAAAGGUGGCUGUUCUCUCAUUUGGGAGUCUUCCUUUGGUGGUUUUGUUUGUGUGUGUGUUUGUUUGAGCUCCUGGCAUUUCAGGAAAUCUCUGUCAAGAUCCUAGCUGAACACAAGCAAAAGAAAUAGAAACUUCAGUGAUUACACGUGAUAAGGCAUAUAAUCUUUGCAAAAAUAUUUUGGAAAAGUAUCAUAAAUGUACUACUAUAGCCUUCAACAAUAACCAUAGGAAGAGAGGGAAGAAGGAAGGAAGGAAGGAAGAGAAAGGGGAGAGAAAACCAGCAAACCCUGAGGAAGGGGAAGAAGUAGAAUCUGAUUUCCAGAGUUACCACAUUAUAGUAGUCAAAUGCACAGUUUUCAACAAAAACAAAAGAAAUCACAAGGCAUGAAAAGAGUCAGGAACACACGGCCCAUUCAAAGGAACAAAAUUAAUUGACAGAAGCUGUCCCUGAAGAAACCCAGGCAUCAGAAUUACUAGAUAAAGCCUUUAAACCAACUCUCUAGGGAAAACAUGGGCAAAGAACAAAAGGAAAUUAGGAAAUCCAUAUGUGAACAAAAUGAGAAUAUUAACAAAGAGAAAGAAAUUACAGAAAGGAACCAAACAAAAAUUUUUGAGCUGAAAAGUACAAUAAUUUAUAUAAAAAAUUCACUAGAGGGGUUCAGCAACAAAUUGGAACAAACAGAAAAAACAAUCAGUGAACUUGAAGAUAGAAUGAUUAAAAGUAUUGAGUCUGAAGGCUUACCUGGUGGCGCAGUGGUUAAGAAUCUGCCUGCCAAUGAAGGAGACACAGGUUCAAUCCCUGGCCCGGGAAGAUCCCACAUGCCACAGAGCAACUAAGCCCAUAUGCCACAACUACUGAGCCUGCGCCCUAGAGCCCACGAGCCACAACUACUGAAGCCUGUGUGCCUAGAGCCCGUGCUCUGCAACAAGAGAAGCCACGACAAUGAAAAGCCCACGCACCGCAAUGAAGAGUAGUCCCCACUCGCCACAACUAGAGAAAGCCUGCGCACAGCAACGAAGACCCAACACAGCCAAAAAUAAAAACAAACAAAUUUAUAAAAAUAUAUAAAUAAAAAAAUAAAAGUAUUGAGUCUGAGAAGCAGGGAAAAAGAAUGAAUAAAAAUGCACGGACCAUAAGGGAUUUGUGGAAUGCCAUUAAAUGCAACAACUUAUGCCUUAUGAGAGUUUCAGAAGAAGAGACAGAGAAAGAGGCAGAUGAUUAUAUGGAGAAUUAGUGGUUGAAAACUUCCCAAAUUUGAAAAAAGACAUGAAUUCAAGAAGCUCCAUAAACUCUAAGUAGGAAGAACCCAGAGAGAUCCAUACUGAGACACAUAAUCAGACUGUCGACAGCCAGAGACAGAAUCUUGAACACAGCAAGAGAAAAGUAACUUGUCACGUACAAGGGAUCCUCAACAAGAUUUUUAGCUGAUUUGUCAUUAGAAGUCAUGGAGGUCAGAGGCAAUAGUAUAAUUUGUUUAAAAUGCUGAAAGAAAAAAAAAAUUGUCAACCAAGAAUUAUAUAUCUGGCUAAACUGUUCUUCAAAAAUGAGGGAGAAAUUAAGACAUUCUCAGAUAAACAAAAGCUGAAGGAGUUCAUUGCCACUAGACCUGCUCUACAAGAAAUUCUGAAGAGAGUCCUUCAAGUUGAAAUGAAAGGACUUUAGACAGUAGCACAAAGUGAUAUGAGAUCCCCAAUAAAGGUAAAUAUAUGGGCAAACAUAAACUUCAUCAUUAUUGCAAUUUUGGUUUGUAACUCCAUUUUUAAUUUUCUAUAAUAUUUAAAAGACAAACACUAAAACUAAUUAUAAAUCUGUUACUGGGGACACAACACAUAUAAUAAUAAAGUUAAUAAUCAAUAUCAGAGCUAAUCCGAUGCCCACUGGGGAUCCAGAGCCAGGAAAGAAAGCAACAGAGAUCAGGUUACGUGGUGCCCGGGGCUCCGUUCACUGUGAGCUGAGCCUGUCACAGAGAAGUAUGGGAUGUGCUCUUCUUUGAGUUUCAAAUCCCAGACAAGCUGUCCAUGGCAAUGGCUGCUUGUUUUAUCUGUUAGGAACCGUGCACACUUUCCUUCUCCCUGGUUGACCAUUCACUCCUGUGUUUGUUUGUUCACUCAUUUGUUCAUUUGUUGCUAUCAUGCAUUUAGAAUAAAACUCAAAGUCCUCAUCAUGGCUUUUCAGGCUCCUAGCUGCUUCUCCAGCCUCAUUUCUUACCACUGUUCCCUCAAUCUGGCCUCCUGUCUGAUCUUCACACAUGUCAAACAUCCUUGGGCCUCAGGGCCUUUGCACGUGCUAGGAUGACUAAUCUCCAUGCAUCUCUCACCUUCCAGCAGGCUAACCUGGGCUUGCUUUCAUGCUAGCCUAAAAAGUUUCAGAGAGAAAGAGAGGACAAGGCCUCCCAAGGCCUAGGCUGGCAACUGACAGUUGGUCACCUCGGCCACCUUCUACUGGCCAAAGCAGGUCACAGGGCAAGCCCAGAUUUAGGGGAUGGGGAAAAUGCCGAAGGCUGUGUGGUGGAGAGACUUCAGGGUGGCUGCUGGGACCCCUGCCUCCUGGUGUCCAUGAGCUCGUAUGAUCCCCCUCUGAGGGUGAGCAGGACCUGUGCUUCUAUCUACAGAAUAUGAUAAAGGUAACAAAACAUCGCUCCUAUGAUUAGGUUACAUCACACAAGACUCCCUCUUAGCAAACAGGGGCUAGAGACUCUCCUUGUGAGCUUAAUGAAAGAUGCAGCCGUGUUGGAGAAGCUCGCAUGUCAAAGAACCGUGGGCAGCCUCUAGCACCCGGGGGUGCCCCCAGCCAACAGCCAGCACGGAGCUGGGCCCUCAGCACAGCCGAGCAAAGGAAGCCUGUCAAGACACUGAAUGAGCCUGGGGGCAGAUUCUUCCCCAGCGGAGCCUCCUGGUGAGGACUCAGUCCAGACUCCUGCGCACGGAAAGUCUGAGAUAAUAAGCCCAUGUUAUCUUAAGCCAUUAAGUUUGUGGUAAUUUGUCAUGCAGCGCAGAAAAUGAAUGCAGCCUGGGUUCAGCUGAUAAGCAGUAGCUGAGAAAUGGAGCGUCCUUAAAGGAGUCUGAUGGUUCCUUCCAGCUUUACCGGGGAACCCGGAGCCCUCAGCAGGUGAGUUGCGAUGGACCAUGUUUGCCUGGUACUGGCUUUCUCAUGUGAACUGACCUACCUAAAAUUCUAGAGUGGGAACACAUAGAAAGACCGUAUUGAUGGAUGGAGCCCAGCAUGGCCAUUCCCUGUAGAAUGGGAUGUUAUGAGGUCCAGACUGGUCCUCCCUUCCCACCCACAAAUGCACUCAGACCCAGUUUCCAAUGGAAUUUCUAGGGGUGAUGUGACUGGGAUACCGUCUUAAUCCCAGUAA